rnacentral:lncRNA from 1 species
CCGCCUAAUUUACUCCCCACCCUCCAAACUUCCCUCUAAUUUUUUCAAUUUUUUCCCCAUCAUCGAUCCAUUUUCCCACUCUGUAUAGGGUCACUCCAUUUGCAAGGCAGUGAACGGCAAAAUAACCGUAUGCGUUUUCUCAUUAGCUUCGUCGUCAUAGUUGCUUAACCUUGUGUUAGAGGUGGAAGCGAGUCAGAGUAGUUUGUCCCUCUGCAUAUGCAUCUGAUUCUUCUUCGGGCCCAAAAUGACAUUCUUUAGUAAGGAAAAUGAUUCCAGGUGUGAAACAAAGGAGCAGUUUUAACCAGAUUGACAACCAAUAUGAAAAAAAAAUUGAUCAAGGAAGGGCUUGAAACGGGUACGAUUGUGCGAACCAAUGACAUUAAUCAUUCAAAGGAGAGGGAGGUUGUUGCCUUCAGCUGUUGCUCUUUCUAGCUACGAAGAGAAGGAAGAACAGUUCAAAGAACAGGUGAAGAUGAUCGAAGUGAGUAGGAAAUCUGGGCAUGCUACACAAGCAAAUGACGAAGGAGGUUCACUCGCAUAGUUUAAUGAAAUAUUGUAUUUUUGUUAGUAUUUUUUUUGAAAUAUUGCAUGAAAUAUUGGUUUGUUAGUAUCAACAUUAAGGCAAUACGUAGUGGGGCGCGACCAAGG